rnacentral:rRNA from 1 species
GACGAACGCUGGCGGCGUGCUUAACACAUGCAAGUCGAACGGUAAGGCCCUUCGGGGUACACGAGUGGCGAACGGGUGAGUAACACGUGGGUGAUCUGCCCUGCACUUCGGGAUAAGCCUGGGAAACUGGGUCUAAUACCGGAUAGGACCACUGCCUGCAUGGGUGGUGGUGGAAAGCUUUUGUGGCGUGGGAUGGGCCCGCGGCCUAUCGGCUUGGUGGUGGGGUGAUGGCCUACCAAGGCGACGACGGGUAGCCGGCCUGAGAGGGUGACCGGGCACACUGGGACUGAGAUACGGCCCAGACUCCUACGGGAGGCAGCAGUGGGGAAUAUUGCACAAUGGGCGCAAGCCUGAUGCAGCGACGCCGCGUGAGGGAUGACGGCCUUCGGGUUGUAAACCUCUUUCAGCACCGACGAAGCGCAAGUGACGGUAGGUGCAGAAGAAGGACCCGCCAACUACGUGCCAGCAGCCGCCGUAA